ACGAACGCUGGCGGCGUGCUUAACACCUGCAAGUCGAACGGAAAGGCCCUGCUUUUGUGGGGUGCUCGAGUGGCGAACGGGUGAGUAACACGUGAGUAACCUGCCCUUGACUUUGGGAUAACUUCAGGAAACUGGGGCUAAUACCGGAUAGGAGCUCCUGCUGCAUGGUGGGGGUUGGAAAAUUUCGGCGGUUGGGGAUGGACUCGCGGCUUAUCAGCUUGUUGGUGGGGUAGUGGCUUACCAAGGCUUUGACGGGUAGCCGGCCUGAGAGGGUGACCGGCCACAUUGGGACUGAGAUACGGCCCAGACUCCUACGGGAGGCAGCAGUGGGGAAUAUUGCACAAUGGGCGGAAGCCUGAUGCAGCAACGCCGCGUGCGGGAUGACGGCCUUCGGGUUGUAAACCGCUUUCGCCUGUGACGAAGCGUGAGUGACGGUAAUGGGUAAAGAAGCACCGGCUAACUACGUG
rnacentral:rRNA from 1 species